rnacentral:rRNA from 1 species
GAAUUUUGGACAAUGGGCGAACGCCUGAUCCAGCAAUGCCGCGUGCAGGAUGAAGGCCUUCGGGCUGUAAACUGCUUUUGUACGGGACGAAAAGCUCUGGGUUAAUACCCUGGAGUCAUGACGGUACCGUCAGAAUAAGCACCGGCUAACUACGUGCCAGCAGCCGCGGUAAUACGUAGGGUGCAAUCGUUAAUCGGAAUUACUGGGCGGAAAGGGGGCGCAGGCGGUUUUGUGAGGCAGAGGUGAAAUCCCCGGGCUCAACCUGGGAACUGCCUUUGUGACUGCAAGGCUAGAGUACGGCAGAGGGGGGUGGAAUUCCGCGUGUAGCAGUGAAAUGCGUAGAUAUGCGGAGGAACACCGAUGGCGAAGGCAACCCCCUGGGCCUGUACUGACGCUCAUGCACGAAAGCGUGGGGAGCAAAC